rnacentral:rRNA from 1 species
GAUGAACGCUGGCGGCGUGCCUAACACAUGCAAGUCGAGCGAAGCACUUACUUUAGAUUUCUUCGGAAUGACGAAGUUUGUGACUGAGCGGCGGACGGGUGAGUAACGCGUGGGCAACCUGCCCUGUACAGGGGGAUAACAGUUAGAAAUGACUGCUAAUACCGCAUAAGCCCACAGCUUCGCAUGAAGCAGUGGGAAAAACUCCGGUGGUACAGGAUGGGCCCGCGUCUGAUUAGCUAGUUGGUAAGGUAACGGCUUACCAAGGCGACGAUCAGUAGCCGACCUGAGAGGGUGACCGGCCACAUUGGGACUGAGACACGGCCCAAACUCCUACGGGAGGCAGCAGUGGGGAAUAUUGCACAAUGGGGGAAACCCGGAUGCAGCGACGCCGCGUGAGCGAUGAAGUAUUUCGGUAUGUAAAGCUCUAUCAGCAGGGAAGAAAGUGACGGUACCUGACUAAGAAGCCCCGGCUAACUACGUG